GACGAACGCUGGCGGCGUGCCUAAUACAUGCAAGUAGAACGCACAGUUUAUACCGUAGCUUGCUACACCAUAGACUGUGAGUUGCGAACGGGUGAGUAACGCGUAGGUAACCUGCCUGGUAGCGGGGUAUAACUAUUGGAAACGAUAGCUAAUACCGCAUAAUAUUAAUUAUUGCAUGAUAAUUAAUUGAAAGGUGCAAUUGCACCACUACCAGAUGGACCUGCGUUGUAUUAGCUAGUAGGUGAGGUAACGGCUCACCUAGGCGACGAUACAUAGCCGACCUGAGAGGGGGAUCGGCCACACUGGGACUGGGACACGGCCAAGAAUCCUACGGGAGGCAGCAGUAGGGAAUCUUCGGGAAUGGAAGAAAGGCGGAACGAGCAACGCCGCGUGAGAGAAGAAGGUUGUCGGAUCGUAAAGCUCUGUUGUAAGAGAAGAACGGGUGGGAGAGUGGAAAGUUCACACUGUGACGGUAUCUUACCAGAAAGAGACGGCUAACUACGUG
rnacentral:rRNA from 1 species